AUUGAACGCUGGCGGCAUGCCUUACACAUGCAAGUCGAACGGCAGCACGGGUGCUUGCACCUGGUGGCGAGUGGCGAACGGGUGAGUAAUACAUCGGAACAUGUCCUGUAGUGGGGGAUAGCCCGGAGAAAGGCGGAUUAAUACCGCAUACGAUCUACGGAUGAAAGCGGAGGACCUUCGGGCUUGGCGCUAUAGGGUUGGCCGAAGGCUGAUUAGCGAGUUGGUGGGGUAAAGGCCUACCAAGGCGACGAUCAGUAGCUGGUCUGAGAGGACGAGCAGCCACACUGGAACUGAGACACGGCCCAGACUCCUACGGGAGGCAGCAGUGGGGAAUUUUGGACAAUGGGCGAAAGCCUGAUCCAGCAAUGCCGCGUGUGUGAAGAAGGCCUUCGGGUUGUAAAACACUUUUGUCCGGAAAGAAAUCCUUGGCCCUAAUACGGUCGGGUGAUGACGGUACCGGAAGAAUAAGCACCGGCUAACUACGUG
rnacentral:rRNA from 1 species